AAGUCGUAACAAGGUCUCCGUUGGUGAACCUGCGGUUGGAUCAUUAAUAAAUUAAAUUAAAAAGGUUUAUAGUAAUAUAAAUUCUUUUUUUUAACAUUUUGUGAACUGUUAAUUGUUUCUUGGUUGGCUUAAAGGAUUUUUUUUUAAAAAAGUCUGAAAAAAUUAAAAAAAUUUAUUUUUUUUUAAUUUUUUAACCAACCAAAAUAUUUAAACUUUUUAUUUAUAUAUUUUUUUGUCUUGAAUUUAAAUUAUAUUAAUUUAAAACAACUUUUGACAACGGAUCUCUAGGCUCUC
rnacentral:misc_RNA from 1 species